AAGCACUUCAUUAAAACUACAAGACAGCAAGGCCGAAAGCCUUUAGAAAUAAAACCGUAAAGUACAAGGCCAACCGAGCCCAAUCCAAACCCCUCAUCGCUGCCUGGAGCAAGGAAAAAGGAAAGCUGAUCGAAAGUGUCUGUUGAAGCAAGGAUGAAGUACCCACAUCCAACAGGAACGCCGGCGAGUAGGAAAUAACAACGUCUUCGUCAUGGCGGAGCUUGUCGGGGGCAUUGGCUGAGCUUUCAUAUCCUAAGCAUUCGAACGGGCGUCAGCAACCGGACAGUGAAAAUCUAGUGCAGCUUGAUCGUCGUUUCCAUGCACGAGCAAUCGAGGCUAAUUUGGAGAACGCAAGGGUAGUUAGCUGAGUUUUGCA
rnacentral:lncRNA from 1 species